AAAUACCUAUAAAAUAUGAGAAUAGUGUUAAAGAAAAGAAGAUAAUAGAUAUGUCAUAUGAAGAUUACAUUCAAGAUUUUAUAUUGGACCCGAAGUAUGUAAAAUAUCUACAUGAAAAUGUGAAAAAAGAGUAGCAAAAAGAGUAGAGAAGUUAGCAUUAAGAGAAAAGUAGAAAAUAAAAGAAAAAAAGUGAAAUAAGAAUUAGUAGUAUUUCUAAAAAUAAAGAGAAGGAGGAAACUGAUUUGAGAGACGAAGAUAGAGAAUAUGAGAG
rnacentral:lncRNA from 1 species